GGGACCCUUUCAAACUGGAAACUUAUCUUUCUCUUUUUACAUAGUUAAAAUAAUUCUGUUCAAAUAAUAUUUUCUAAUAUACUCUGAAAUCAUGAGUGUAUUUUUUUUUUUUUGUCUUUUUAGGGCCACACCCACGGCAUAUGGAGGUUCCCAGGCUAGAUCUAAUCAGAGCUGCAGCUGCCUGCUGAUGCCACAGCCACAGCAAGGACAGAUCCAACCCGUGUCUGCGACCUGCACCACAGCUCAUGGCAACAUGGGAUCCUUAACCCACUGAGCAAGGCCAGGGAUUGGGCCCGAAACAUCAUGGUUCCUAGUCGGAUUCGUUUCCGCUGACGGGAACUCCUGAAAUCAUGAGUCUAGAAGUCAAUUUCAGAUUUGUAUUAUUUAUUUUUUAAUUUAAAUAUAGUUGAUUUACAGUGUUAUGUUAGUUUCAGAUGUAUAAUAUAGUCAUUCAAUUUUUUAUAGCUUACACACCAUUUAAAGUUAUUAUAAAAUAGUGGCUACAUUCCCUGUACAGUACCUUACACGCAUGUGUAUUCUUAGUCGUAUUUUAAAUUUCUUAUUAAAAUUACUCCUUAACAUUUUAGAAGCUGGAGUUAGAAUAGGAAAUGUAUUACUCAGUACACAGUGAGACACUGAAUUUUCUGUGGCAAACUUCUCUAACCUGUUAUAAAACAAGGUCCUUGAUAGGGUGAAGGAUAAAGAAACCAGAAUCCCCGGCGUAGGUCACGUGAUGAAGAAGGGUCAUCCUGUUUUCUCACACAGACAAGUAGAUGGGAAAUCUCUUUACAAAUAAACAGAGCAGAGAAUGAGCAGAUUAAAUGUUUCUCAGGUGAGACAGAGCGUCCAGUAACAGAGUGUCACGGGGUGGCUUUCUCAGUUCCUUGGUACAAUAUACCCUUUUAGUGAUGAAUAGGCAUCGUGCAUUCCAACAUAGCCAAAUGACUAGCGUUGCAUUGGAAUUGGAAUAAAUGUAAUUUUAAGAAUUCAAGACACCAGAGUUAUAGAGAAUAGGUUUAAAGUCUACAGUGAUUAAGAAAACAAAAUAAACAUAAAACAGUUCACAUAAGAAUUAUUGAAAAUCAGAGUAACAAAUGUAAUUUGGAUAUUACUAUACAAAUUAUUUAUUAGUGUCAGGUUUAUGAUUUCUGUCUAGACCUAUAAAAGAACAGUUCUCAUGCAAUGGGAAAGACAAGUUAAAGAUGCGUAUAUUAGCAUCCACUUCAGCUAAUUAUGCUCAUGAAGUCAGUUGUUCCAUGAAAGGCAACCUCGUUUAUUGGACAUUUUUAGGAAAUGAUCAAUUCCUCAGAGACGUUGAUGUACACAACUUUAUUUUCAUUCUACCUGUUUUUGAUUAAAAUAUUCCUCAAAGAAUAUAUUUAUUUGGCUAACUUAGAACAGGCCCAGGCGUUUAGAGGAUUCUGCUGAGUGUUUGUUUAUUCCGUCAUUUACUUAGUCAACAAGUAUUGUGUUAUUACUCUUUCCCAGUAAGUCAGGGCCGUCAUUCCUCAUUCCUCAUUGUGUUAAACCUCAGGCGGUUUUGCCCUCGGGCACCUUGAAGCUGUGCCGUGCACUUGGCCUCAAAUACAAGGCUUUGAGAAAAUUAUGCUUUUUGAGCAAAAGCUCCUGUGACUCAGUGAGGAAAAGCAAAACAACUCAAUGGGAAAAAUACAUGAAUAGGCAUUUCACAGAAAAGGAAUAACAAAUGCUCAUAAACAUAUGGAAAGAUUCUCCGUUUCUUGAUGAUCAGAGACACAAGUGAAAACCACACUGAGUUUCCACUGUACACGCUGCUGUGGCCAAGCGUUAUGAGGAAGUGGAGCCGUGGGACUCUUCUCCACCGAUAGCAGAGGCAUCAGCUGUGUCCUUCCGUGGAAGACAAUUCGGGUAUGAGCCAAUAAGCUGAGUAACGCACAUCCCUGCUACCCGGUGAGCCCAUCCCUCGGCGUGAACUCCAAGAAAGACCUUACAGCGGCAGAGGAGGUGGAUGUAAGAAUGUUCUGACAGUACAGCCUGUCAAGAAAAACUGCAGCCACCUAAAUACGUGCUGCAGUGAAGAGAGAUGGACUGGGUACACUCCUACCUGGAAUGCCAUCCAGCAGUGAGGAGGAGUACGUUAUCACUGCUUGCAUCGAUGUGACUGGACGUCUUAAACAAUAUUGAGGAAAAAAGGGACGUCUCAGAAGGGGACCUGCAAGUUCCACUCAGUCUAUAUAAGGGUAGAAAUCUGGCUUAACUGCAUGUAUUUUGUAGGGACAUAGAAAACUUGAUCCAACUGUAAAGGAAAACACCACACAAAAAUGGAGAUCAACACGUUACUCAGAGAGUGUUUACGGAGGAGGGCAGGUAAGGGCUGUGAUGACAGGAGGAGGCGGAGAGGGACCCAAGGCAUGGGGUCAUGUUCUGCCCCUUCAGCAUCGUCUCAUCCAACCAGCGCUUCCUAAAGGCCUGCGAAGCGCCAAGCACUGCCGUAGCACGUAGGGUACAAACUCUUCAAGAGAACAUAUUCCGCAGGAAGCGAAAAAAUGGAUGGAGUAAAUCAUUAACUUAUUUUAGUUUCAAAAGGUGAUAAGUUCUAUGGAAAAAAUGGGAGUUAAGACAGCUUGGUGUGUGUGGAUGGUUAGUAGAAUUAAAUGAGAUGAUGAGGGUACCUUCUUUGAGAAGGAGCUAUUUGAAUCUAGAUUUGAAAGAGAUACGGAGUAAGCCACACGGCUACCUGGGUGAGUGAAAUUUAGGCAGAGGGACCAGCCAGUGCAAUGAUCUCAUUAUGGUGAUGUGUUUGCCAUGUUUGGGGAGACAUGGGGAGGGCACCGCAGCUGACAAUGAGCAGCAUGGUCAGAGAGGUGGAUGCACCAGCAGGGCUGGACAGGGCAUGACAUGCUAGGUCGGGUAUUGGCAGCGUCCCUCUGCAAAGAGGCAGAUGAUAAAUAUUUUAGGCUUUACGGGCCACAGGGUCUCAGAAGCAAAUGCUCUGCCGUUGGAACAUGAAAGCAGCCAUAGACAAUAUGCAGUUAAUGGACAUGGAUCUAUUAUAGUAACGCUACACAAAAAAGAAGUGAGUGGAGAGUGACGGAAUUAGGAUGGCAGAAUAGAAGGACUGGAGCUCAACUUCUCUCCUAAAAACAACAAAAUUCACAACUAAAGACUGAGCACACUUCACCAAAAUGGACCGGAAACCUUAAAAAAGAUACCCUACUCCAGAAGAAAAAGAGGAGGCCACAUCAAGAGGUAGGAGGGGCGAUUUCAUGAUAUAAACAACCCCAUACCUCCUGGGUGGGAAGCUCCACAGACUGAAAACUAACUGGUUCACAGAGACUCACCUACAGGAGUGAGAGUUCUGAGCCCCACAUCAAACCCUCACGUGUGGGGAUCUGGCACUGGGAGAAAGAGCCCCUGGAGCAUCUGGCAUUGAAGGCCAGUGGGGCUUGUGCGCAGGAGCUCCACAGGACUGGGGGAAACGGAGACCCCAUUCUUAAAAGGCGCACACAGACUUUCACGUGCACUGGGUCCCAGGGCAGAGCAAGGUCUCCAUAGGAAUCUGGGUCAAACCUGACUGCAGUUCUUGGAGGACAUCCUGGGAAAACAGGGGUGAAUGUGGCUUGUUGUGAGGGAAGGACAUUGAAGGCAAAGCUCUCGGGAAUAUUCAGCAGGUGCCUUUCUCUGGAGGUGGCCAUUUUGGGAAAAUCUGGCCCCACCCAUCAGUCAGUGCUGAGAAGCCCCAGGGCAAACAACAAUCCAGGUGGGAUCACAGCCCCACCCCUCAGUAAACAGGCUACCUAAAGACCCCUCAGGCACACAGCUGCCUCUAAUCCCAUCCAGAGACUAAGCCCCACCCACCAGAGGGAUUAGAAUCAGCUCCACCUACCAGUGGGCAGGCAUCAGCCCCUCCCAUCAGGAAGCCUACAGCAAGCCCCCAUACCGACUUCAGCCACAAGGGGGGCAGACACCAGAAGUAAGAGAGGCUACAACUCUAUUAUCUGUAAAAAGGUCACCACACCAAAAACCUAUAAAAAUGAAAAGACAGAGAACUAUAACUCAGAUGAGGGAGAAAGGAAAAAUCCUAGAAAAUCAGCUAAGUGAUGAGGAGAUUCUCAGCCUCCAGGAAAAAGACUUUAGACUGUUGAUGCUCAAGAUGAUGCAAGACAUUGGAAAUAAACUGGAGGCAAAGAUGGAUAACUUACAGGAAACACUGACCAAAGAGAUACAAGAUACAAAACUUAAACAAGAAGAGAUGCAAAAUACAAUAACUGAAAUAAAAAAUUCACUAGAAGCAGCUAACAGCAGAAUACAGGAGGCAGAAGAACAAAUAAGCGAGGUGGAGGACAGAUUAGUGGAAAUUACAGAUGCAGAACAGAAAAGAGAAAAAAGAUUGAAAACAAAUGAAGAGAGUCUCAGAGAACUCUGGUACAACGUGAAAUGCACCAACAUCUGUAUUAUAGGGGUGCCAGAAGGAGAAGAGAGAGAGAGGAGGAGAAAAAAUAUUCUAAGAGAUAAUAGCCAAAAACUUCCCCAACAUGGGAAAGGAACCCCUCACUCAAAUCCAGGAAGCACAAUGAGUACCAUACAAAAUAAACCCAAGGAGGAACACCCCGAGACACAUACUAAUCAAACUGACCAAAACUAAAGACAAAGAGAAAAUCUUGAAAGCAGCUAGGGAAAAGAAAUAACAUACAAGGGAACCCCAAUAAGGUUAUUGGCAGAUUUUUCAGCGGAAACUCUGCAGGCCAGAAGGGAGUGGCAUCAUAUACUCAAUGUGAUGAAAGGAAAAAAAUCUCCAACCAAGAUUACUCUACCCAGCAAGGCUCUCGUUCAGAUUUGAAGAAAUCGAAACCUUCACAGAUAAGCAAAAGCUAAGAGAAUUCAGCAACACUAAACCAACCU
rnacentral:lncRNA from 1 species